rnacentral:rRNA from 1 species
GACGAACCGUGCGAACGUUGUUCGGAUUCACUGGGCUUAAAGGGCGCGUAGGCGGAUGGUCAAGUCGGGGGUGAAAUCUUUCAGCUUAACUGGAAAAGUGCCUCCGAUACUGACUGUCUCGAGGGAGGUAGGGGCAUGUGGAACUUCCGGUGGAGCGGUGAAAUGCGUAGAUAUCGGAAGGAACGCCGGUGGCGAAGGCGGCGAUCUGGGAAGAUACUGACGCUGAGGUGCGAAAGCGUGGGGAGCAAACAGGG